AAUAUUGCACAAUGGGCGAAAGCCUGAUGCAGCCACCCGCGUGUGUGAAGAAGGCCUUCGGAUGUAAAGCACUUUCAGUAGGGAGGAAAGGGUAUGACUUAAUAUGUAAUUCUGUGACGUUACCUCAGAAGAAGGACCGGCUACUCCGUGCCAGCAGCCGCGGUAAUACGGAGGGUCCGAGCGUUAAUCGGAAUUACUGGGAGUAAAGCGUAGGCCGGCCGUUUGUUAAGCCAGAUCUGAAAUCCCCGGGCUCAACCUGGGAAUUGCAUUUCGAACUGGCGAACUAGAGUUUUGUAUAGGGGGGUAGAAUAGCAGGUGUAGCGGUGAAAUGCGUAGAGAUCUGGAGGAAUACCGGUGGCGAAGGCAGCCCCCUGGACAAAGAAUGACGGUCAUGCAGAAAGAGUGGGGAGCAAACAGGCUUAGAUACCUUGGUAGUUCACGCCCUC
rnacentral:rRNA from 1 species